rnacentral:rRNA from 1 species
GACGAACGCUGGCGGCGUGCUUAACACAUGCAAGUCGAACGGAAAGGCCCUGCUUUUGUGGGGUGCUCGAGUGGCGAACGGGUGAGUAACACGUGAGUAACCUGCCCUUGACUUUGGGAUAACUUCAGGAAACUGGGGCUAAUACCGGAUAGGAGCUCCUGCUGCAUGGUGUGGGUUGGAAAGUUUCGGCGGUUGGGGAUGGACUCGCGGCUUAUCAGCUUGUUGGUGGGGUAGUGGCUUACCAAGGCUUUGACGGGUAGCCGGCCUGAGAGGGUGACCGGCCACAUUGGGACUGAGAUACGGCCCAGCCUCCAUCGGGCGGCAGCAGUGGGGAAUAUUGCACAACGGGCGGAAGCCUAAUGCAGCAACGACGCGUGCGGGAUAAAGGCCUUAGGGUUGUAAACCGAUUUCGCCUGUGACGAAGAGUGAGUUACGGUAAUGGGUAAAGAAGCACCGGCUAACUACGUG